UGUUGGAUUUAAAGCUCUGUUUUGGGCAGU
rnacentral:piRNA from 1 species